rnacentral:misc_RNA from 1 species
AACGCACCUUGCACUCUUUGGUAUUCCGAAGAGUAUGUCUGUUUGAGUGUCGUGAAACUCUCAACCCCCCUUUUUUGUAAUGAGACGGGCGUGGGCUUGGAUUAUGGCUGUCUGUCGGUUCUAAUCGAAUCGGCUCGGCUGAAAUACAUGAGCGACCACACUGAAUACAGUGACGGCUUGACUCGGCGUAAUAAUCUAAUUUUUCGCUGAGGACGUCCAUUUUUCAGAUAGGCGCUUCUAAUGCUACAACUUAUAUAAACUUUAGACCUCAAAUCAGUCAGGACUACCCGCUGAACUUAA